rnacentral:rRNA from 1 species
UAAUACAGAGGGUGCGAGCGUUGUCCGGAAUCACUGGGCGUAAAGGGCGCGUAGGUGGCGCGGCCAGUCAAUGGUGAAAGCUCGACGCUCAACGUCGAGUCGGCCACUGAUACUGCCGCGCUGGAGCACUGUAGAGGCAGAUGGAAUUCCGGGUGUAGCGGUGGAAUGCGUAGAGAUCCGGAAGAACACCGGUGGCGAAGGCGGUCUGCUGGGCAGUUGCUGACACUGAGGCGCGACAGCGUGGGGAGCAAACAGGAUUAGAUACCCUGGUAGUCCACGCCGUAAACGAUGGGCACUAGGUGCUUGGGGGAGCGACCCUCUGAGUGCCGACGCUAACGCAUUAAGUGCCCCGCCUGGGGAGUACGGCCGCAAGGCUG